rnacentral:rRNA from 1 species
AGAGUUUGUUCCUGGCUCAGAUUGAACGCUGGCGGCAGGCCUAACACAUGCAAGUCGAGCGGUAGAGAGAAGCUUGCUUCUCUUGAGAGCGGCGGACGGGUGAGUAAUGCCUAGGAAUCUGCCUGGUAGUGGGGGAUAACGUUCGGAAACGGACGCUAAUACCGCAUACGUCCUACGGGAGAAAGCAGGGGACCUUCGGGCCUUGCGCUAUCAGAUGAGCCUAGGUCGGAUUAGCUAGUUGGUGAGGUAAUGGCUCACCAAGGCGACGAUCCGUAACUGGUCUGAGAGGAUGAUCAGUCACACCGGAACUGAGACACGGUCCAGACUCCUACGGGAGGCAGCAGUGGGGAAUAUUGGACAAUGGGCGAAAGCCUGAUCCAGCCAUGCCGCGUGUGUGAAGAAGGUCUUCGGAUUGUAAAGCACUUUAAGUUGGGAGGAAGGGCAGUAAAUUAAUACUUUGCUGUUUUGACGUUACCGACAGAAUAAGCACCGGCUAACUCUGUGCCAGCAGCCGCGGUAAUACAGAGGGUGCAAGCGUUAAUCGGAAUUACUGGGCGUAAAGCGCGCGUAGGUGGUUUGUUAAGUUGGAUGUGAAAUCCCCGGGCUCAACCUGGGUACUGCAUUCAAAACUGACUGACUAGAGUAUGGUAGAGGGUGGUGGAAUUUCCUGUGUAGCGGUGAAAUGCGUAGAUAUAGGAAGGAACACCAGUGGCGAAGGCGACCACCUGGACUAAUACUGACACUGAGGUGCGAAAGCGUGGGGAGCGAACAGGAUUAGAUACCCUGGUAGUCCACGCCGUAAACGAUGUCAACUAGCCGUUGGAAGCCUUGAGCUUUUAGUGGCGCAGCUAACGCAUUAAGUUGACCGCCUGGGGAGUACGGCCGCAAGGUUAAAACUCAAAUGAAUUGACGGGGGCCCGCACAAGCGGUGGAGCAUGUGGUUUAAUUCGAAGCAACGCGAAGAACCUUACCAGGCCUUGACAUCCAAUGAACUUUCUAGAGAUAGAUUGGUGCCUUCGGGAACAUUGAGACAGGUGCUGCAUGGCUGUCGUCAGCUCGUGUCGUGAGAUGUUGGGUUAAGUCCCGUAACGAGCGCAACCCUUGUCCUUAGUUACCAGCACGUAAUGGUGGGCACUCUAAGGAGACUGCCGGUGACAAACCGGAGGAAGGUGGGGAUGACGUCAAGUCAUCAUGGCCCUUACGGCCUGGGCUACACACGUGCUACAAUGGUCGGUACAGAGGGUUGCCAAGCCGCGAGGUGGAGCUAAUCCCAUAAAACCGAUCGUAGUCCGGAUCGCAGUCUGCAACUCGACUGCGUGAAGUCGGAAUCGCUAGUAAUCGCGAAUCAGAAUGUCGCGGUGAAUACG